rnacentral:rRNA from 1 species
CCUACGGGAGGCAGCAGUGAGGAAUAUUGGUCAAUGGGCGCGAGCCUGAACCAGCCAAGUCGCGUGAGGGAGGACGGCCCUACGGGUUGUAAACCUCUUUUGCCGGGGAGCAACGGGCGCCACGUGUGGCGCCACUGAGAGUACCCGGAGAAAAAGCAUGGGCUAACUCCGUGCCAGCAGCCGCGGUAAGACGGAGGAUGCGAGCGUUAUCCGGAUUUAUUGGGUUUAAAGGGUGCGUAGGCGGAUGGUUAAGUCAGUGGUAAAAUUUAGGGGCUAAACCCCGACCCGCCAUUGAAACUGGCGAUCUUGAGUGGGAGAGAGGUAUGCGGAAUGCGUGGUGUAGCGGUGAAAUGCAUAGAUAUCACGCAGAACCCCGAUGGCGAAGGCAGCAUGCCGGCUUCCGACUGACGCUGAGGCACGAAAGCGUGGGGAUCGAACAGGAUUAGAUACCCUUGUAGUC